rnacentral:lncRNA from 10 species
CUGAAGUGAUGACCCGCAAGAAUUGGUCAAAUUUGGAGUAGACUUCACCCUGCGCUUGGUGAAACUUCUACGUCAAGGAUGCAAGAGGCGCCGAAGUAACGCAGCUCCCACCUGUCGCUCUCCGCUGGGCGCCGAGACUAUGGCCGGAGAAUAGCUGCACCGGGAUUGGAGAAAGGAAGCCAUCAGUCUUAGGAAGGCUCCACCUUCCUGCCAUUGCCUGGUUGGAGGAGCGUAGCGUCAGUCACUAGAGCAGUCACCACCUCUGGGACAGGACCCGGCCGCGCGCCGCAGUUCGGGCGCCUUCGGGCAGGAUCGCCCAGCGGGGCCGCGUUCUCCUGCUUGCGGACGGCUGCGGGCCUGAGGGCUGGACAGCGCCAUGCCUCAGUACCGGGAACUGUCCCACGUAGGAAGGUGGGAAUGCCGCGAACGGCGUGCGGAAUCCGACCUCAAGGUGGAACGGGGUGGUGAAGAGUGCAUGCUCCGAGGCAGUUUCGAGUUCUGGUGCUGCCACUUACUUGCUGCCUGACUUCGGCGCGUUUGCUGUUUCAUUUUUGUGACUUUCAACUCGCUCCUCUGUGAAAUGGGAGUAAUAUUAG